AAACGAAUGUCUAUUCUUGUCCAUCCGUUCCAAAGGUUUUCCAAACAAAUCCAUCACGUUGACUUUACAAGAGUCAUCUUAUUCAAGUUUCUUUGCAAUCAUUUUGCAUAAAAUUUCCCAACAAAGAUUUGAUUUUUUUGGAUCCUUUAAUCAUACCUUCUAUGGCGUCUUCUUCAAAGUCAUCCGUUAACAAGAGCUGUGUUUUUGAGUUUCAGGGGUGAAGAUACUCGUACGAACUUCGUUGAUCAUCUUUAUCAUGCUCUCCAGCAGAAAAGCAUUCAUACUUACAAGGACGAUGAGAGAAUCAAAAAAGGUAAAAAGAUUAGUGAUGAUCUCAUCGGAUCCAUUGAAGACUCCAAAUUGUACAUCAUUGUUUUCUCCAAGAACUACGCCUCUUCAUCCUGGUGCUUGGAUGAACUUGUUAAGAUAAUGGAAUGCCACGGGACAAACGAUCAUACGGCUUACCCUGUCUUCUAUGAUGUGGAACCAUCGGAAGUUCGCAAACAAAGUGGGGCAGUGGCAGAAGCCUUUGCAAAGCAUGAAAAGGAAGAGUCAGCCGGGAAAAAAUGGAGAGAGACUCUGAAAGAAGCAGCGGAUCUGGCUGGAUGGGAGUUGAAGAAGACUGCUGAUGGGCACGAAGCUAAAUUUAUCCAGAGAAUAGUUGAAGAGAUUUCACUAGAGUUGCGUUCCAUCAGUUUCAACAUUGAUGAAAAGUUAAUAGGAAUGGAGACCCGGAUCAAAAAUCUUGUACCAUCUAUAGGAAUUGGUUGUGAUGAUGUCCGCAUGAUCGGGAUCAAGGGGAUGGGAGGUGCUGGAAAGACAACUUUAGCAAGAGCUCUCUUUGAUCAACUAUCCUUUCGGUUUGAAGGUAAAAGCUUCGUGGAGAAUGUAAGGGAAGUUUCAAAUGCUUCUUUGUCUGGUUUGAAGUCAUUGCAAGGAAAUAUUCCUAGAUGUUGCAUGCAUCAUGAAAGGUUGGCAGAAAGAUGAUGCUAUCAAAGCGCUCAAAAGCUGUGGAUUUCAUGCUAGAAAUGGUUUAAGAGUUCUUCAACAAAAAUCUCUUAUAACUAUUAAUUAUGAUUACCUAGGCAUGCAUGACCAUAUUGUAGAAAUGGGUAGGAAUAUUGUUCGGCGUUGGCUCCCCAAUAAGCCUCAUAAACAUAGCCGAUUGUGGAAAAUCGAUGAAAUUAAAGAUAUACUGGCUAAUGAUUUGGGUACUAAAGCGACAAGAUGUAUACGAUUCCACUCUAAGAAAUUCAAUCCGCAUAUUUUUAUAAAAGGUCUAAGAAAGAUGAAGGAGCUUAGAUUUCUUUCGGUUAGUGGAGAUUGUUCCAGUGAUUACGAGUUUGGUAUACUCGGUCCAGACUUCCCAAAUGCUUUACGAUAUCUACAUUGGACCAGUUACCCUUUUAGAUCUUUACCCACAGCAUUUCAAGCAAGUAAUCUUAAAAUUAUGGUCCUUAACAAGCUCAAAUUCCUUGACCUCUGUUGUUCAAUGUUGAGGACUCUUGACCUUGGGUUGGCACCAAAUCUUGAAGAGUUGAUUCUUGUUGGAUGCAGCUAUUUGGAAAAGCUUCAUUUUCCCAGUAGAUGUCUAAAUCUAAGACGCUUGCUACUCACGGAUUCAAAGUUGAGGACCCUUGACGUUGGGCUGACUCCGAAUCUCGAGAAGUUAGAUCUUGAAAAAUCAUAUUAUUUGGAAGAACUUCACAUGGCCAAUGAAUGUCAAAAGCUCGCCGAACUCAAAAUUACUCAUUCAAACUUGAAGACACUUGACCUUGGGAUGACCCCAAAUCUCAAGAAGUUACAUCUCAAAGAGUGUCAUAAAUUAGUAGAACUUCACACUUCCAUUGGAUGUCUAAAAAAGCUUGUCCACAUAGACUUAAGUGGUUGUUUGAGGUUUAGAUCUUUUAGGUUUAACAUAAAGGAUAAUACUUCUUGUAGUGUUGAUGAAUCAGUUGAGGUUGGUCCUUUAGCCGAGUUACGUUUGAUGGUGGAGUCCCUAGAAAGUUGCCCGCUUCACCCCAAAAGUAACGUGCCAAAGUUUCGGUUUGACGGUGUCUAUAAAGAAGAUCGACCCUUGUUAACUAGAAAUCUUGAGAUGCUUUUUUCUGUAGGUAUGUGUGCUUGCACAAAUCUUGAGACGUUUUCAAGAAGCCUUUGUGGUUUACGACGUUUAAGAAAGCUUGAACUCAAAGCUAGUUUUGUAGAGGCGAUCAAGGACAUUGACCAGUUAGAACCUCUGGAGGAGCUAAUAUUGUUGGCUACAAGGACAAACCAUCUUCCAGAUAGCAUUUGUAAGUUGAAACAUCUGAAAUUUCUUAAACUUGUUGAUUUACGGCUUCUUGAGAGGUUACCUGAGGAUCUUGGCCAAUUAGAAUGUCUAGAGGAGUUUAGUUUGUUGUCUAUAGAUAUUAAACACCUCCCUCAUAGCAUUUGUAACUUAAAACAUCUGAAAUCCCUCGAACUUUGAUAUUGUUUGUUGCUUGAGACGUUACCUGAUGAUCUUCAUCAAUUAGAAAGUUUAGAGAAGCUAACUUUGUCAUCUGCUAGAAUGAUUAGACGUCUUCCGGCAAACAUUUGUAUGUUGAAACAUCUGAAGUCCCUCAAACUUAUAUGGUGUUGCCUCCUCGAGGAGUUACCUAAGAAUCUUGACCUAUUAGAACAUUUAGAGGAGCUAGAUUUGUCAUAUACAAAGAUUAAGCAGCUUCCAAGUAGCAUCUGUAUGCUGAAACAUCUGAAAUCUCUGGAUAUUUCUUGUUCAUUGCUUGAGAAGUUACCUGAAGAUCUUGACCAAUUAGAAUGUUUAGAGGUGCUUAGCCUAUGGACAUGUGAAUUUUUACAAGAUAUCCCGAAUAGCAUCUGUGAGAUGAAAUGUCUAAAAUAUUUCUAUCUCCAAGAUUGUAUUCGAGUUGAGAAAUUGCCCGAGGAAUUUGGACGUUUGGAAUGUUUAGAAGUGUUAAAUAUAGAAGGUACAAGCAUAAGUCAUCUACCCCAGAGCAUUCUUUCGUUGAAAGGUCUGCAUAUUUUUGGGUCGACAGAGCUUCUUCAGUCAUAUGGUUUUACAACUGAGAUGGAAACCCAAAGAUGCGGAACGAUGUUUUACGUAGUGGUGUGAUGAUUAUGAGAAGCUCGAAAGACCUGGAAAAUCCAGUUCACAAAGAACUAUUGUCACAGCUAACAGGAACAAUGAAGGAGCACAUAUAUCUUCACUUGGGUCAUCUACCACCAGAGGCUCUCAAGAAGAGACUUCCUUGCUUCUCUGGAAUUGCUGCCAUCUUUGGCUCUUUGCUGGUGUUGAUGUUACAAAGAAGCCAAUUCCAGUUUUGCCUUACUGUCCAUUACAACAUGGGUGGGAUCCCAACUAAUUACCAUGAGAGGUACCGAGCAGUAUGAUCGCGGAUGCUCUAAGGAGUACACUGGGCAUACCAGAAGUACGCUGGGCGUACUCCAAUCAGACCCAAACCCUAUUCAUCAUUUUGUGUGUGCGUGUGUACGUGUGUUGUGUUGUGUUGAAGGCCAACAGACUCAGGGCAUCCCGGAUAGACCGAAGGUCAGUAGGGCGUAGUCGAAGGCCCGAUGUGGCGUACCAAUCAUACUGAAGAUUCUGUGAGCGUACCAAGUAGAUUAUAGGCCGGUGGGGUGUUCCACUAAGACUGAAGGCUCUAUAUGCAUGUUGUUUAUUGUUAUUAUUUUGGUUUUGUGUUGUGGUGGUAUUUUGGGGGAAACUCACUGAGCUUUGGGCUUACAGUUUUGAGUUAUGUUUCAGGUAACUCAGAUGAUCACGGGAAGGCGAAGGUGUGGUCGAGCACCUCCUCGUGUUUUAAUUUAUGAUUUUGGGAAAACGCUGAUAUUAAACAUGUUUUGAAAACUAAAUUGUAAACAAUGAUUGUUUGUGGGAUGGUUUUAAAAUUUUAAAAUUUUCAUGAAUUUUUGGAUGAUA